GCAUAGCUCAGUGGCAGAGCACCUGAUUUGUAUUCAGAACGCCCCAGGUUCAAUUGAAUGGUUCAGGUAACA